CUGUUGGAACCCAGCUUGACCUUCACCCCUGUUUUUGGCCAUCUCCUUAUUUCCAGUGUGGAGGUAAGAGGCGGUUCUUGUCCCUCCACAAAACUUUUCUCUUGAAACUUCUGUGUUUUCCCGUGAGAUCAGAUCAUUGAACACUCUAUGCUUAUAACCCCACUUCUUUUCAUAACUUGUACAACCUUAGUUUGCAUAUCCUCCAUAUCCGUUAAUGUUCUGACGACAAUGCACUCUUACAAUUAAUUAGUUCUUCCAUCUUCUACAAGGUUCACUGGUUUGUUCAAAAUUUAAUGGAAAAUUUGACAAAUCCACAGGAGCCUAUGGGAAUUAUUGCUAAUAUCUUAAAAAUUCUCCUCUCCACCCUUUCAUACCAACAGACUUUUUCUGAACAAGACAGGCCCUUCUUUCUAUUCUUCAAUCAGAAUACCAUUUCCAUGCAAUCGUCUUUCACAUUGCCAAACACUUAGCUUAAGUUACUGAAUGUUGGAACUAACAUUCUGCACAUGAAAUGAGUCACAGGGGACCAAAAGAGUAGAGAAGAUGCCCAUCUGAGCUCUUUGUUGUGAUGGUGAUCUUUAAUGAUGAUUGAUAAAUACUCUUCUGUUCAUUGUUUCGGCAUUAAAUACUUUAUUGGGUACAUCACUUUUUAGCCCUCUUACCCAAGUUCAGUUUAGGCUUGGACAUUCAAUUUGGAUGAUUUUGUAAGAAUUAACUUACCUGAUUAGAAGAUCUUUUUUCUCAUGUGCUGUAGCCUUUAUGUUUUCAUGUAAAUCAAUUUGAGCUGGGACUAAUAUUAGAUAAUCAGAUUGUUUGUAGAAGUAAAUGCAUGCUUUUCAUCCUGCCAUUCUCUUGGGAUGAAACAUGCACCAAUCUUGUAGCUCAUCCUCUCUCUUUUUCUUCUUUUAAAAAUAAAUAAAUUUUUGUACUUGUAGCUCAUUAGCUAACGGAUAUAAAAGUAUUUUUUUUUGUACUUUCAAGUUUAAACAUUUGCAUUGUCCCAUCAUUUACACCUCAAAAGCUGUAGGUACUUGAAGCAGGAAAUUUGCCCUUCCCUGGUUAUGUGCUGCCAUCAGUGAAAGACCUCGAGACUGAGCAUGUUAAAGAGUUGGAGCACUUCAGAAUGGUGUUCCAGGAAAGAUUGUCAAUUGCUGUCACUUCAUCAUAAUCUGUAAGAAAUGCUAGGAAUUGUGAGACGCCUUUCCUGAGUUUGCCAAGAAAAUGAUGGUA